GAUUUCUGGACUGAAGCAUUUAGCCGGCCGCGGUUUCGCGUGUUAGUGCUGGAUGCUCUGUCCAUCCUUCCAAUCGCUAUUGGCUAUUCUUCAUUGAAUGGUCCGUAGUAUUGGAUCUUUUACUUUGAAAAAAUUAGAGUGUUUCAAGCAGGCUUUAUGCUAUGAAUACAUUAGCAUGGAAUAAUAAUUUAGGACUUCGGUUCUAUUUUGUUGGUUUCUAGGACUGAAGUAAUGAUUGAUAGGGAUAGUUGGGGGUGCUAGUAUUCAGCGGCCAGAGGUGAAAUUCUUGGAUUCGCUGAAGACUAACUUAUGCGAAAGCAUU
rnacentral:rRNA from 2 species